GGGUUGUGAGGUUAAGCGACUAAGCGUACACGGUGGAUGCCCUGGCAGUCAGAGGCGAUGAAGGACGUGCUAAUCUGCGAUAAGCGCCGGUAAGGUGAUAUGAACCGUUAUAACCGGCGAUUUCCGAAUGGGGAAACCCAGUGUGAUUCGUCACACUAUCAUUAACUGAAUCCAUAGGUUAAUGAGGCGAACCGGGGGAACUGAAACAUCUAAGUACCCCGAGGAAAAGAAAUCAACCGAGAUUCCCCCAGUAGCGGCGAGCGAACGGGGAGGAGCCCAGAGCCUGAAUCAGCAUGUGUGUUAGUGGAAGCGUCUGGAAAGGCGCGCGAUACAGGGUGACAGCCCCGUACACAAAAGCGCAUGUGCUGUGAGCUCGAUGAGUAGGGCGGGACACGUGGUAUCCUGUCUGAAUAUGGGGGGACCAUCCUCCAAGGCUAAAUACUCCUGACUGACCGAUAGUGAACCAGUACCGUGAGGGAAAGGCGAAAAGAACCCCGGCGAGGGGAGUGAAAAAGAACCUGAAACCGUGUACGUACAAGCAGUGGGAGCACCCUUCGGGGUGUGACUGCGUACCUUUUGUAUAAUGGGUCAGCGACUUAUAUUCUGUAGCAAGGUUAACCGUAUAGGGGAGCCGGAGGGAAACCGAGUCUUAACCGGGCGUUAAGUUGCAGGGUAUAGACCCGAAACCCGGUGAUCUAGCCAUGGGCAGGUUGAAGGUUGGGUAACACUAACUGGAGGACCGAACCGACUAAUGUUGAAAAAUUAGCGGAUGACCUGUGGCUGGGGGUGAAAGGCCAAUCAAACCGGGAGAUAGCUGGUUCUCCCCGAAAGCUAUUUAGGUAGCGCCUCGUGAAUUCAUCUCCGGGGGUAGAGCACUGUUUCGGCUAGGGGGCCAUCCCGGCUUACCAACCCGAUGCAAACUGCGAAUACCGGAGAAUGUUAUCACGGGAGACACACGGCGGGUGCUAACGUCCGUCGUGAAGAGGGAAACAACCCAGACCGCCAGCUAAGGUCCCAAAGUCAUGGUUAAGUGGGAAACGAUGUGGGAAGGCCCAGACAGCCAGGAUGUUGGCUUAGAAGCAGCCAUCAUUUAAAGAAAGCGUAAUAGCUCACUGGUCGAGUCGGCCUGCGCGGAAGAUGUAACGGGGCUAAACCAUGCACCGAAGCUGCGGCAGCGAACGUAUCACCCAAGACAACUUUACGGAGUUGACGAUUGACGGAGCGAAGCGACGUCAAAGCGUUCAUUAAAGUCGAGUUGGCUUAGGGAUACGUUCGUUGGGUAGGGGAGCGUUCUGUAAGCCUGUGAAGGUGUGUCGUGAGGCAUGCUGGAGGUAUCAGAAGUGCGAAUGCUGACAUAAGUAACGAUAAAGCGGGUGAAAAGCCCGCUCGCCGGAAGACCAAGGGUUCCUGUCCAACGUUAAUCGGGGCAGGGUGAGUCGACCCCUAAGGCGAGGCCGAAAGGCGUAGUCGAUGGGAAACGGGUUAAUAUUCCCGUACUUGGUGUUACUGCGAAGGGGGGACGGAGAAGGCUAUGUUGGCCGGGCGACGGUUGUCCCGGUUUAAGCGUGUAGGUGUGUGUUCCAGGUAAAUCCGGUUCACUUUAACACUGAGGCGUGACGACGAGGCACUACGGUGCUGAAGCAACAAAUGCCCUGCUUCCAGGAAAAGCCUCUAAGCAUCAGGUAACACGAAAUCGUACCCCAAACCGACACAGGUGGUCAGGUAGAGAAUACCAAGGCGCUUGAGAGAACUCGGGUGAAGGAACUAGGCAAAAUGGUGCCGUAACUUCGGGAGAAGGCACGCUGACACGUAGGUGAAGUGAUUUACUCAUGGAGCUGAAGUCAGUCGAAGAUACCAGCUGGCUGCAACUGUUUAUUAAAAACACAGCACUGUGCAAACACGAAAGUGGACGUAUACGGUGUGACGCCUGCCCGGUGCCGGAAGGUUAAUUGAUGGGGUCAGCGUAAGCGAAGCUCCUGAUCGAAGCCCCGGUAAACGGCGGCCGUAACUAUAACGGUCCUAAGGUAGCGAAAUUCCUUGUCGGGUAAGUUCCGACCUGCACGAAUGGCGUAAUGAUGGCCAGGCUGUCUCCACCCGAGACUCAGUGAAAUUGAACUCGCUGUGAAGAUGCAGUGUACCCGCGGCAAGACGGAAAGACCCGUGAACCUUUACUAUAGCUUGACACUGAACAUUGAGCCUUGAUGUGUAGGAUAGGUGGGAGGCUUUGAAGUGUGGACGCCAGUCUGCAUGGAGCCGACCUUGAAAUACCACCCUUUAAUGUUUGAUGUUCUAACGUGGACCCGUAAUCCGGGUUGCGGACAGUGUCUGGUGGGUAGUUUGACUGGGGCGGUCUCCUCCUAAAGAGUAACGGAGGAGCACGAAGGUUGGCUAAUCCUGGUCGGACAUCAGGAGGUUAGUGCAAUGGCAUAAGCCAGCUUGACUGCGAGCGUGACGGCGCGAGCAGGUGCGAAAGCAGGUCAUAGUGAUCCGGUGGUUCUGAAUGGAAGGGCCAUCGCUCAACGGAUAAAAGGUACUCCGGGGAUAACAGGCUGAUACCGCCCAAGAGUUCAUAUCGACGGCGGUGUUUGGCACCUCGAUGUCGGCUCAUCACAUCCUGGGGCUGAAGUAGGUCCCAAGGGUAUGGCUGUUCGCCAUUUAAAGUGGUACGCGAGCUGGGUUUAGAACGUCGUGAGACAGUUCGGUCCCUAUCUGCCGUGGGCGCUGGAGAACUGAGGGGGGCUGCUCCUAGUACGAGAGGACCGGAGUGGACGCAUCACUGGUGUUCGGGUUGUCAUGCCAAUGGCACUGCCCGGUAGCUAAAUGCGGAAGAGAUAAGUGCUGAAAGCAUCUAAGCACGAAACUUGCCCCGAGAUGAGUUCUCCCUGAGACUUAGAGUCUCCUGAAGGAACGUUGAAGACGACGACGUUGAUAGGCCGGGUGUGUAAGCGCAGCGAUGCGUUGAGCUAACCGGUACUAAUGAACCGUGAGGCUUAACCUUACAACGCCGAAG
rnacentral:rRNA from 1 species